AAACCUCACACCGCCCGGGUCCUGCCCGGGCUGGAAGUGGACUUGGGUGUUGCCGUCCGGCUCGCCUCAAAUACCUUAGCGGUCCCGUCGGUGGACGGCCUUGCGUGCUCACGUUUCGCUCGGCUGCAGAAACCGUUCGGCCCGCUCACAAAGCUUCUCCUUGAGAAAAUUCAAUUGACA
rnacentral:misc_RNA from 2 species